UACGUAGGGGGCAAGCGUUGUCCGGAAUCAUUGGGCGUAAAGAGCGCGUAGGCGGUCCGGUAAGUCGGUUGUGAAGACUGGGGGCUCAACCCUCAGAGGCCGACCGAUACUGCUGGGCUAGAGUCCGGAAGAGGCGAGUGGAAUUCCUGGUGUAGCGGUGAAAUGCGCAGAUAUCAGGAGGAACACCAAUGGCGAAGGCAGCUCGCUGGGACGGUACUGACGCUGAGGCGCGAAAGCCAGGGGAGCAAACGGG
rnacentral:rRNA from 1 species